rnacentral:rRNA from 1 species
GUAGGUGGCAAGCGUUGUCCGGAAUUAUUGGGCGUAAAGCGCGCGCAGGCGGUUCUUUAAGUCUGAUGUGAAAGCCCACGGCUCAACCGUGGAGGGUCAUUGGAAACUGGAGAACUUGAGUACAGAAGAGGAAAGCGGAAUUCCACGUGUAGCGGUGAAAUGCGUAGAGAUGUGGAGGAACACCAGUGGCGAAGGCGGCUUUCUGGUCUGUAACUGACGCUGAGGCGCGAAAGCGUGGGGAGCAAACAGGAUUAGAUACCCUGGUAGUCCACGCCGUAAACGAUGAGUGCUAAGUGUUAGGGGGUUUCCGCCCCCCUUAGUGCUGCAGCUAACGCAUUAAGCACUCCGCCUGGGAGUACGGCCGCAGUGCUG